rnacentral:rRNA from 1 species
GACGAACGCUGGCGGCGUGCUUAACACAUGCCAGUCGAACGGAAAGGCCCUGCUUUUGUGGGGUGCUCGAGUGGCGAACGGGUGAGUAACACGUGAGUAACCUGCCCUUGACUUUGGGAUAACUUCAGGAAACUGGGGCUAAUACCGGAUAGGAGCUCCUGCUGCAUGGUGGGGGUUGGAAAGUUUCGGCGGUUGGGGAUGGACUCGCGGCUUAUCAGCUUGUUGGUGGGGUAGUGGCUUACCAAGGCUUUGACGGGUAGCUGGCCUGAGAGGGUGACCGGCCACAUUGGGACUGAGAUACGGCCCAGACUCCUACGGGAGGCAGCAGUGGGGAAUAUUGCACAAUGGGCGGAAGCCUGAUGCAGCAACGCCGCGUGCGGGAUGACGGCCUUCGGGUUGUAAACCGCUUUCGCCUGUGACGAAGCGUGAGUGACGGUAAUGGGUAAAGAAGCACCGGCUAACUACGUG